AGAGCGCAGGGUGGAUGCCUUGGCACUAAGAGCCGAUGAAAGACGUGAUAAGCUGCGAUAAGCUGCGGGAAGGAGCACAUAUCCAUUGAUCCGCAGAUCUCUGAAUGGGGAAACCCACAUGAGUGAACCUCAUGUAUCCGUACGCCAAUACAUAACGUAUGGAAGGGAACCCGGUGAACUGAAACAUCUAAGUAGCCGGAGGAAAAGAAAGAAACAUCGAUGCUGGAAGUAGCGGCGAGCGAAACCGGCGGAGCCCAAACCGACGUGCGUGCAUGUCGGGGUUCGGACUGCAUUUAAGACUGAUGAGAUUAACAGAAUGGCUUUGGGAAAGCCAGCCAGAGAGGGUGACAGCCCCGUACGUGAAAGUCAAGUCAGCUGAGCAGGAUCCAGAGUACAUCGAGACACGAGAAACCUUGAUGGAAUGAGCGGGGACCACCCCGUAAGGCUAAAUACUCCUUAGUGACCGAUAGCGCAUAGUACUGUGAAGGAAAGGUGAAAAGGACCCCGGGAGGGGAGUGAAAGAGAACCUGAAACCCUGUGUUUACAAGCUGUGGAACUGUUUUAAAGCAGAACCGCGUACUUUUUGUAGAACGGUCCGGCGAGUUGCGGGUACUGGCGAGGUUAAGUGAUUAAGUCACGGAGCCGAAGCGAGAGCAAGUCCUAAUAAGGCGUAAAGUCAGUACAUGCAGACCCGAAACCGGGUGAUCUACCCAUGUCCAGGUUGAAGCUGCCGUAAGAGGUAGUGGAGGACCGAACGCACAUCCGUUGAAAAGGGUGGCGAUGAGGUGUGGGUAGGGGAGAAAUUCCAAUCGAACCCGGAGAUAGCUGGUUCUCCUCGAAAAUAGCUUUAGGGCUAGCCUCGUAUAAGUCUGAUGGAGGUAGAGCACUGAAUACCCGCGGGGGCGUCAAAGCUUGCCAACGGUUAUCAAACUCCGAAUGCCAUACAGAUAAGAUACGGGAGUCAGACUGCACGAGAUAAGUUGGGUAGUCAAAAGGGAAAGAGCCCAGACCACCGGCUAAGGUCCCAAAGUGUGUGUUAAGUGGUAAAGGAUGUGGGAUUUCACAGACAACCAGGACGUUGGCUCAGAAGCAGCCAUACAUUUAAAGAGUGCGUAAUAGCUCACUGGUCGAGAGGUCCUGCGCCGAAAAUUACCGGGGCUGAAACACAACACCGAAGCCGUGGAACUAAUGAUAGUUGGUAGAGGAGCAUUGAAUAUCCUGCGAAGCAGUACCGUAAGGAGCUGUGGAGGGUAUUGAAGAGAGAAUGCCGGAAUGAGUAGCGAGAGGAAGGUGAGAAUCCUUCCGGCCGAAUACCCAAGGUUUCCAGAGUAAAGCUGAUCUGCUCUGGGGAAGUCGGGACCUAAGGUGAGGGCGAAAGCCGUAGCCGAUGGACAACAGGUUGAUAUUCCUGUACUGCGAUAUAUCAGAACUGUGGGGACGCAUGUGGAGAGCAUGAGCGGGGAAUGGAAAUACCCGUACAAGCGUAUAGCUGCAGGAUUGGCAAAUCCGUCCUGUAAAGCAAAAGCGUGAUGUGGACCGAACUAAAGUAGGGAAGCAUGUGAGCCAUGUGCCGAGAAAAGCCGCUAUUGUGUAUAUCGUACCCGUACCGUAAACCGACACAGGUAGGUGAGGAGAGAAUCCUAAGGCCGACGGAAGAAGUAUUGUUAAGGAACUCGGCAAAAUGACCCCGUAACUUCGGGAGAAGGGGUGCCUGCGCAAGCAGGCCGCAGAGAAUUGGUCCAAGCAACUGUUUAGCAAAAACACAGGUCUAUGCGAAACCGUAAGGUGAAGUAUAUGGGCUGACGCCUGCCCGGUGCUGGAAGGUUAAGAGGAGAGGUUAGCGCAAGCGAAGCUUUGAAUUCAAGCCCCAGUAAACGGCGGCCGUAACUAUAACGGUCCUAAGGUAGCGAAAUUCCUUGUCGGGUAAGUUCCGACCCGCACGAAAGGCGUAAUGAUUUGGACGCUGUCUCGACAAUACAUCCGGUGAAAUUGAAGUACCAGUGAAGAUGCUGGUUACCCGCGCCAGGACGGAAAGACCCCAUGGAGCUUUACUCCAGCUUGAUGCUGGGAUUCGGUAAUGCAUGCACAGGAUAGGUGGGAGGCUAUGAAGUAUGAACUCCGGUUUAUACAGAGCCGCUGUUGGGAUACCACCCUUGCGUUAUUGGAUUUCUAACUGAUCACCAUGAUCUGGUGACGGGACAACGUCAGGUGGGGAGUUUGACUGGGGCGGUCGCCUCCGAAAGAGUAUCGGAGGCGCUCAAAGGUUCCCUCAGAAUGGUUGGAAACCAUUCGAAGAGUGCAAAGGCAGAAGGGAGCUUGACUGUGACACCGACGGGUGGAACAGGUACGAAAGUAG
rnacentral:rRNA from 1 species